CGAUGGCACAGUUCAGGCCAAUUAGGAAACAUCUGCUUACCUAUCAGUGAACUGAUGUAAUGACCUCAUACAGCAUGGCUUUAGGGUAUGCUGGACUUCCCAGGUGUCCUGGAACCAGUUCUUCCACGGAUACAGAGGGAUGACUGAUUUAUGUAUAGAAAGACCAAAAAGACAUAGGCCAAAUUGUUAGUGGUGAUUCUUUUGAAUGAUUGGAAUACAGGAUGGCGGCAUCUGCUGUUCUGAAAGAUUUUCCCAUCUAGGCUCCAGCCAAGUGCAGGAAAGUUCAAGGCGGAAGCUGCCUGGUGAAGCAGACAUUUCUGAGUUCUCCAUUUCGCAACUGCAAGCACCUUGAAAGGUUCUUCAGCCCUUUCCUUAGCAACCUUCACAGCUUAUUCUAAGCCUCGUGUUUAAGAACUUGGAAUUGCUAAGUGUUUUAGAGGCAGUUUUUUGCUUAAAGAGAAAAACUGGCAUGGCCUGAGUGUGGCUGAGGCAAACGCUUCUGGCAGGACAGUGCCAGUCUUGGUUCUCCUUAUUCAUUGAUGAGCUUCUGCUCCACAUGGGUGAUGGGAGGGGCUGGUCCUACCCUCCAAGCUGGUUCAGCUGACAGCUGCGAAUGCCAGUGCUCUUGCCAACCAUCAGAAAGGCUUGAAACUGAUGCUGCGAGGGGCAUCCUGCAGUAAUACCCCCCAUCCUGUGGCUCCAGGCCCACUGUGUGUGUGGAGGCGGGGAUCAUUCUAGUUGUGAGCUUUGACUCUAGCUACCUCACUCUGCUUCACUGGGUUCCAACUUCCCCUCCCCACCUGAGAUGCUCUGCCAGUUUCUCUUUCAGGUCAUGGCUGGAGCAGACCCAGCAAAGCAGUGUCUCCUGUGGCUUUUGCCUCCUCUGGAGGAAGGGUGGGUGGGGCUGGGCUGGUUGUUUGAAGAGGAAAAGGAUGAGGGAGUGUUGGGGAACAGGUGUGCAGAAAUGGUGAAGUGGCAUGGAAGAUGGAGGAUUUAAAUGUUAAAGGGUGGGCAGAAAAUGUACCAGGAUAUUUUGAGGGCUAAAUUUGUUCUGGAAGUUAAAUGCAUAGAAUGCGAUGAAUCAGAGGAACAAGAGCCACUUAAGAUUUUUAAAGCCGUUGGGUUGCCCAGGCGAUACACAGGCGUUUUGUGGAUGGUUUGCUAUUAGCAGUAAACAUUUACAUAGCACUUCACCUCCUCAAAUAUUCAUCCAUAAAACCCUGGAAUGGCAGUGACAGCCGGGAAACGAAGACUCAGGGAGGAUUCGCUCAAGGUCACAAAGCUGGUUUGCAGCGGAGCCGACCGGAGAGCCUAGGUGCCUUGGCUUUGUGCCGCCACCUGCCAGGGGUGUCCGCCUUGUCUGGAUAACUUGCUUUGCAAUACCCAGUGAGGAAGGUGAUUGGCUACAGCCUUCAGCUGGAGGAACAGAGAGGCGGGAAGCGGAGGGAUCUGUUGACCAAUCAGAAGGCUGUAUUUGACCUAGCUGCUUCCAGACCGACCUCCUGAGCCCUUGAACCCUGAAGCUGCAUGCUUUCUUUGACCUGCUCAUCUACCAGGGAUGUCUCUCUUGGAGAAUGACACUGCUGGGCUCCCAGCUUCCCAGGCAGCUUGACUUCUCCCCUUUGUUUCCUCACCACCCACCCCAUGCCGCAUCAAUCACCAUGACCUUGAAUUCCAUCUGUUUGGUAUUUGAGUCACUCACUUUUCCUCAUCCCCACAAUGACUCUCCAUCUACCACACAGCCUACUAAUUAUCCUCUUCACCUCCACUCUUUGCUCCUUCCUAUCCAUUCUACUUCCAAAAACCUAAGCAGACCACUCUCCUGCUGAAAACCCUUCCGGGGCUCUCGAUGGCCUCAGGUGAAAUGAAGCCCAGACACCUCAUCACAAGGCUCCUGCCCCCGUUUCCUGGCAUGUCCAGGGCAUGGCCUCACACAGCUCCCCAGCCAGAAGGAUGCUCAGUUCCCUGACUUCAUCAUGCUGUGAGUACGUUGCUGAUGGGGCCAGAAGGAGCCAAGAAAGAUCACAGGAAUGGUCGGGUGGAGGGGGUGGGGUUGUUGGGGGCAGAAAGAGAGACAGAGGGAGAGGGGGAGAGAGGGAAGAGAGAGAGAAAGAAAGAGAGGGAGAGAAGGGCUGAGCCUGGCUGUCCUGAGCCAUUGGUCAGUGUGGAAGAACCCACCUCAUAUGGGAUGUUCUCAGCCCAAGAACACUGACACGAGCCUUGGAGGUGAGCAUUGUCUAUCACUGCAAGGCUGAAGACUCACAGCUCUUUCUCUCUUCAGACAGCUCAUUCUGAUUUGUUGAGCAAAGCACAGCGACCUAUAACAGGCACGACAUUUCUUACUGGCUGUGUGACACCGAGUGAGUCACUCAAUGUAAUGAAGCCAUGGGCCUCAGUUUCUUCAUCUGUGAAAUGGGGAUAAUAGCUGAUCUGCUGUGCAGAUGUCUUUUUGUUGGUUUGUUUGGGUUGCACACCUCAUGAACCCCCUUCCGUAUGGGGGACCCUCAUGGUAUGAGCCUCCAGGGUGGAGUGGACGGUGUCCUACUGAGAAGCUGGAAAAACCGGAUGCUGUGACAGCCUGCCAGCAGUGAGAGAGUGAGGCGCUCAUGCCUAGGUCUUUGUAUCUUGAGAGAAAUGCAAAGAUGCAGGGCCUGUUGAGAAUCAUUCCAGUAGAGGCAGUGGGUUUGGGAGGGUGGCAGUGACAAUGACCAUGGGGGCGGUCACCACGGUGUCCAGCUCAGUCUCUUGCUGCAGCAGGAACUUCUUCUUUCUUCCAUGCUUUCUAGU